rnacentral:rRNA from 1 species
AUUGAACGCUGGCGGCAUGCCUAACACAUGCAAGUCGAGCGGAUGAAGGGAGCUUGCUCCUGGAUUCAGCGGCGGACGGGUGAGUAAUGCCUAGGAACCUGCCUGGUAGUGGGGGAUAACGUCCGGAAACGGGCGCUAAUACCGCAUACGUCCUGAGGGAGAAAGUGGGGGAUCUUCGGACCUCACGCUAUCAGAUCAGCCUAGGUCUGAUUAGCUAGUUGGUGGGGUAAAGGCCUACCAAGGCGACGAUCCGUAACUGGUCUGAGAGGAUGAUCAGUCACACUGGAACGGAGACAAGGUCCAGACGACUACGAGAGGAAGCAGUGGGGAAUAUUGGACGAUGGGCGAAAGACUGAUCCAGCAAUGACGCGUGUGUGAAGAAGGUCUUCGGAUUGUAAUGAACUUUAAGUUGGGAGGAAGGGAAGUAAGUUAAUAACUUGCUGUUUUGACGUUACCAACAGAAUAAGAACCGGCUAACUUCGUG